rnacentral:rRNA from 1 species
UACGUAAGUUGCGAGCGUUGUUCGGAAUUAUUGGGCGUAAAGGGCAUGUAGGCGGUCCUGCAAGUCUGGUGUGAAAUGCCGGGGCUCAACCCCGGAACUGCGUUGGAAACUGCAGGGCUUGAGUCACUGAGGGGCGGUCAGAAUUCCAGGUGUAGGGGUGAAAUCUGUAGAUAUCUGGAAGAAUACCAAUGGCGAAGGCAGGCCGCCAGCAGAUGACUGACGCUGAGGUGCGAAGGUGCGGGGAGCAAAC